rnacentral:rRNA from 1 species
GAGCUCCCAUGGCGCCUGUUUAUCAAAAACAUGGUUUUUUGUGGUAAUAAAAAAUCUAACCUGCUCCAUGCGUAAGUAAAUAGCCGCAGUAUUAUGACUGUGCUAAGGUAGCAUAAUCAUUUGUCUUUUAAAUGAGGUCUUGAAUGAAAGGUUGGUCGAAGGAAGAGCUUUCUCUUUAUUAAGAAAUGAAUUUAAUUAAUUAGUAAAAAGGCUAAUAUAAAUUUGAGGGACGAUAAGACCCUAUUGAGCUUAAUUUUAUAAUUUUACUGGGGCGGUAAUGUAAGAAAAAAAUCUUAUUUAUUAUAAGUGAAAUCUAUUGACCCAAUAGUAUUGAGGGGUAGAUAAAGCUACCAUAGGGAUAACAGCUUAAUUUUCCUUUGAAGUCCUUAUUUGAAUGAAAGAUUGAGACCUCGAUGUUGAAUUAAAGAAUCUUAUUAGUGUAGUAACUAAAUUUAGUAAGUCUGUUCGACUUUUAAAUCUUUACGUGAUCUGAGUUCAGACCGGCCAUGGGAGCU